rnacentral:tRNA from 1 species
GGUGAUGGCUCAGUGGUAGAGUGCUUGCUUUACACAUGUGAGGCUCUGGGUUCGAUCCUCAGCACCA